UACGGGGGGGCAAGCGUUGUUCGGAAUUACUGGGCGUAAAGGGUUCGUAGGUGGCCAACUAAGUCAGACGUGAAAUCCCUCAGCUUAACUGGGGAACUGCGUCUGAGACUGGAUGGCUUGAGUGCAGGAGAGGAACGCGGAAUUCCAGGUGUAGCGGUGAAAUGCGUAGAUAUCUGGAGGAACACCGGUGGCGAAGGCGGCGUUCUGGACUGCAACUGACACUGAGGAACGAAAGCCAGGGGAGCAAACGGG
rnacentral:rRNA from 1 species